CAGUCGCCGCGGGAAUACAGAGGGUGCGAGCGUUAAUCGGAUUUACUGGGCGUAAAGCGUGCGUAGGCGGCUUCUUAAGUCGGAUGUGAAAUCCCUGAGCUUAACUUAGGAAUUGCAUUCGAUACUGGGAAGCUAGAGUAUGGGAGAGGAUGGUAGAAUUCCAGGUGUAGCGGUGAAAUGCGUAGAGAUCUGGAGGAAUACCGAUGGCGAAGGCAGCCAUCUGGCCUAAUACUGACGCUGAGGUACGAAAGCAUGGGGAGCAAACAGGAUUAGAUACCCGGGUAGUCCCUGUCUCUUAUAC
rnacentral:rRNA from 1 species